GACAGAGGCCUCGAGCGUUAGGCGGAAUCACUGGGCUUAAAGCGUGUGUAGGCGGAUCGUUAAGUACCUUGUGAAAUCCCACGGCUCAACCAUGGAACGGCUGGGUAUACUGGCGGUCUUGGGCCAUUCAGGGGCGACUGGAACAAGCGGUGGAGCGGUGAAAUGCGUAGAUAUCGCUUGGAACGCCGAAGGUGAAAACAGGUCGCUGGGGAUGUGCCGACGCUGAGACACGAAAGCCAGGGGAGCAAACGGG
rnacentral:rRNA from 1 species